UACAGAGGGGGCAAGCGUUGUUCGGAAUUACUGGGCGUAAAGGGCUCGUAGGCGGUUUGUCACGUCGGGAGUGAAAACUCAGGGCUUAACCCUGAGCCUGCUUCCGAUACGGGCAGACUAGAGGUAUGCAGGGGAGAACGGAAUUCCUGGUGUAGCGGUGAAAUGCGCAGAUAUCAGGAGGAACACCGGUGGCGAAGGCGGUUCUCUGGGCAUUACCUGACGCUGAGGAGCGAAAGUGUGGGGAGCGAACAGG
rnacentral:rRNA from 1 species